UGUUCGCCAAUUAAAGCGGUACGCGAGCUGGGUUCAGAACGUCGUGAGACAGUUCGGUCUCCUAUCUACCAUGGGCGUCGAAGAUUGAUGGAAUCCAUCCUUAGUACGAGAGGACCGGGAUGGACGAACCUCUAGUGCACCAGUUGUCCUGCCAAGGGCAUCGCUGGGUAGCUACGNNNNNNUCGGAUAAACGCUGAAAGCAUCUAAGCGUGAAGCCGAUCCAAAGAUAAGUCUUCAUUUGAGACCCCUGCGAGACUAGCAGGUUGAUAGGCUGUAGGUGUAAGCAUCGUAAGAUGUUCAGCCGAGCAGUACUAAUAGGUCGAGCUCUACAAC
rnacentral:rRNA from 1 species